AGGAACGUUUUGAGGAGCAUGUCAGCCUAUUGAGCGCUGAUGUGUGACAUAUUUUCUCUUUUAGAAAUGGCAUUAAUUGCGGGAGACAGGGAAGGUAAAAAAAAAUCCUCUUUCGUGAGGGCUUUAAACUGCUCCGAGCCAUCUGAUUAUCAAGGUGGUUUAACACUACUCUGGUGUUCUCACUAUUGUUAAUUUCUCACUGGCCUUUUUACCACCAUUCUGUAGAGAAUCUAAUAUUUGAAGGCAAAUGCGUUUAAUGAAUCUUCUAACCAUGAAGAUUGGUAAUUCCUGCUUCUCGCUCAACCUCGUUUUUCCACCUUUGCACUGUUUCAAAGCUUUCAUUUUAUCCUGUCAAUACAUUUUACUUCAAGUUACAGACUAACCCACCCAAACAAUAUUGUGAUUAAAUGUAAUUUUCUGUAUGCGAAAUACAUCUGUACAAGAUGGCAGUCAUCUGUUAGUGAAAAUAAGAUGAGUAAUCCCUAAAUUGCACGGAAUUACUUUUCAUCAAUUCUUUAAUCUGUCUCUGCUGACACUGUUAAAAUAGCUCACUCGUUAUUAUGGACUCUGUUAGAAUUAACAUGUAAAUGUAUGGGUGGAUUACUUAUAAAGGAAGUUGCUAGGAAGAAUCAGAAAACAUACCGUAUUUACGUGGACAAAUGUCUGUCACAGGAGCGUCAGAUCAGGAUUGCUGAAGGAGAGCUGAGAAUGAAACCACCAUUUAUUCAGCACUCAGAAUGCUCCAGGCAGUGUAAUCUCAUUCCAUCUUCAUUCAUGACUCCAGACAGUGACUCUGAAAAUGAAGUAACAUCAUGAGAAGAGGAAACCAUAUGGAAUUAUUACACUUCUCUUUCCACAUGAACAGCCUGGCUAUUCUCUGCCCUUCUGUACUAAGGCCUAUCCUCUGGAAUCAUAGGGUGGCCUGGAAGCCUCAAAAGGAAAUUCUCCCUUGUGGUCAGAGGGAGGAACUGCUGUCUUCCAUCACCCUUCUUCACACUGCAAAUAUGACUUGGAAUAGAGUCCAUGCAAAAAUAGUUUUAUGCUUCUGAAUGGGUGCAGGACAAAAAAGGUGUUGUGUGGGCCAAUAGUGUCUAUAACUGCAAGUUCUACCAGUUCUCAAACUAUAGAAUGUUUCAGAAAUGCCAGGGAGCGGAUUAAAAAUGUUACUUUAAUCUGACUCAGUUCUGGGGGGUAAUCCAAAAAACACGUUUUUAUCUAGACCCCCAGGUGGUCCUGACAUAGGUGGCUGAAUGAACUCCCCC
rnacentral:lncRNA from 1 species